UGCAAGUCGGACGGGAUUUGGGAGCUUGCUCCUAAUGAGAGUGGCGCACGGGUGCGUAACACGUAUGUAACCUACCUUCAUCAGGGGGAUAGCCUCUCGAAAGAGAGAUUAACACCGCAUAACAUCAUAGAGCAGCAUUGCUUAGUGAUCAAAUAUUUAUAGGAUGAAGAUGGGCAUGCGGGACAUUAGCUAGAUGGUGAGGUAACGGCUCACCAUGGCGACGAUGUCUAGGGGAUCUGAGAGGAUGACCCCCCACACUGGUACUGAGACACGGCCCAGACUCCUACGGGAGGCAGCAGUGGGGAAUUUUGGACAAUGGGCGAAAGCCUGAUCCAGCAAUGCCGUGUGUGUGAAGAAGGCCUUCGGGUUGUAAAGCACUUUUGUUCGGGAAGAAAAGGUUCGGACUAAUACUCUGAGCUGAUGACGGUACCGGAAGAAUAAGCACCGGCUAACUACGUGCCAGCAGCCGCGGUAAUACGUAGGGUGCAAGCGUUAAUCGGAAUUACUGGGCGUAAAGCGUGCGCAGGCGGUUUUGUAAGACUGUCGUGAAAUCCCCGGGCUCAACCUGGGAAUGGCGAUGGUGACUGCAAGGCUAGAGUUUGGCAGAGGGGGGUAGAAUUCCACGUGUAGCAGUGAAAUGCGUAGAUAUGUGGAGGAACACCGAUGGCGAAGGCAGCCCCCUGGGUCAAAACUGACGCUCAUGCACGAAAGCGUGGGGAGCAAACAGGAUUAGAUACCCUGGUAGUCCACGCCCUAAACGAUGUCUACUAGUUGUCGGGUUUUAAUUAACUUGGUAACGCAGCUAACGCGUGAAGU
rnacentral:rRNA from 1 species